rnacentral:rRNA from 1 species
AACGCGAAGAACCUUACCAAGGUUUGACAUGCAGGGAAAAGCCUCAGAGAUGGGGUGUCCGUAAGGGUCCUGCACAGGUGGUGCAUGGCUGUCGUCAGCUCGUGUCGUGAGAUGUUGGGUUAAGUCCCGCAACGAGCGCAACCCUCGUCCUAUGUUGCCAGCGGGUAAUGCCGGGGACUCAUAGGAGACUGCCGGGGUCAACUCGGAGGAAGGUGGGGAUGAGGUCAAGUCAUCAUGCCCCUUAAGUCUUGGGCUGCAAACAUGCUACAAUGGCCGGUACAGAGGGCUGCGAAACCGCAAGGUGGAGCGAAUCUCAAAAAGCCGGUCUCAGUUCGGAUUGGGGUCUGCAACUCGACCCCAUGAAGUCGGAGUCGCUAGUAAUCGCAGAUCAGCAACGCUGCGGUGAAUACGUUCCCGGGCCUUGUACACACCGCUACAGU